rnacentral:lncRNA from 1 species
AUCAGCCUAUGGUAUGUUAUUUGUCAUCACCAUGUUUAUAUGUUUAUAUGAUUGAAUAUCAUCAAGGGGAAUUUUGGGUUUUAGGGUUUGAGUAAUUUAGGAUUUCAUAAUGCUAAAAAUUUUUGAAAUCCAUUAUGCUUCUGCUGUGUAUGUUAUUAAUCGAACCUUAUAGAGACCUAGGCAAGUGGAACAUGAUCAAGGAUGGAGU